GAGGCGGGGCCAGAUGCCCACAGUCUCAGAGCCUCUUUUUGUCCCUGGGAUUGGAUCCCAGGGCUGGGUGGGGCCAGGCUGUCCCAUUCCCCAGCACUCCUCCUCCCUGGAGAAACCGGGCACUGGCAGGCGUUUGCAAGACGAGAGACGAGCUGGGUGCCUGGCCUUUCCCUCCCACCAGGUCCCAGUCCACCGCUCCCGGCGCCGGCUCCCCGCCUCUCUAGCUAUGUACCGACCGCGAACCCGGGCGGGUCCCGAGGACAGGGGCUGGGGCUGCGCGGUGCCCAGCACCGUGCUCCUGCUCUUUGCCUACCUGGCUUACCUGGCACUGGGCACCGGCGUGUUCUGGACGCUGGAGGGCCGCGCGGCGCAGGAGUCCAGCCGCAGCUUCCAGCGCGACAAGUGGGAGCUGUUGCAGAACUUCACGUGUCUGGACCGGCCAGCGCUGGACUCGCUGAUCCGGGACGUCGUCCAAGCGUACAAAAACGGGGCCAGCCUCCUCAGCAACACCACCGGCAUGGGGCGCUGGGAGCUCCUGGGCUCCUUCUUCUUUUCUGUGUCCACCAUCACCACCAUUGGUUAUGGCAACCUGAGCCCCAACACGAUGGCCGCCCGCCUCUUCUGCAUCUUCUUUGCCCUUGUGGGGAUCCCGUUGAACCUCGUGGUGCUCAACCGACUGGGGCAUCUCAUGCAGCAGGGAGUAAACCACUGCUCCAGCAGGCUGGGGGGCACCUGGCAGGACCCGGGCAAGGCGCGGUGGCUGGCCGGCUCUGGCGCCCUUCUCUCUGGCCUCCUGCUCUUCCUGCUGCUGCCACCCCUGCUGUUCUCCCACAUGGAGGGCUGGAGCUACAUGGAGAGCUUCUACUUCGCCUUCAUUACCCUCAGCACCGUGGGCUUUGGCGACUACGUUAUUGCAAGCUACCUCCUUUCAGAUACAAGAAAACCAAACAGAGACUGGCAAAUACUAGAGCGGACAUCGAAAUCCUCUGGAGGUUUGUUAAAAUAACAGAUUGCUGGCCGGGCACGGUGGCUCAUGCCUGUAAUCCUAGCACUUUGGGAGGCUGAGGGAUGAACCCCUCCCGGAGGUAUCCACUGUGGUACAAGAACGUGGUGUCCCUGUGGAUCCUCUUUGGGAUGGCAUGGCUGGCCUUAAUCAUCAAACUCAUCCUCUCCCAGCUGGAGACUCCAGGAAGGGUAUGUUCCUGCUACCACCACAGCUCCAAGGAAGACUUCAAGUCCCAAAGCUGGAGACUGGGCCCCGACCGGGAGCCAGAGGCCCACUCCCCACAGCAAGAAUGCUAUCCAGAGGGACCUAUGGGAAUCAUACGGCAUCUGGAACCUUCUGCUCAGGCUGCAGGCUGUUGCAAGGACAGCUAGUUAUACUCCAUUCUUUGUUUGGUCAUCCUCCUCAGUAGCAAGACCCCUGAUUUUAGGCUUGGCACAUGUCCACCCAAACUAAAGACUACAUUUUCCAUCCACCCUGGAGGCUAUGUGCAGCUAUAUGAUUAAUUCUGCCUAUAGGAUAUACAGAGACAUGUCCUGGGUGACGUGGGAUGUGACUUUCAGGUCAGGGGAGGCAUGCCCUUCUUCCCCACUUCCUUCCUUUAGCUGGCUGCAAUGCCGAUAUGGUGGCUGGAGCUCCGGCAGCCAUACAGCACCAUGAAGUAGAGGCAAUGUUUGAGAUUGAUGGCACAAUAAGGUAGGAAGAGUCUGUAUCACUGAUGAUCACAGAGCCAUCCUAACAAACCUAGACGGAAUAUCACUCGACCUCCUUUAUGUGAGAGAGAAAUAAACAUCUUAUAUAAAACACCA